UACGUAUGGAGCAAGCGUUAUCCGGAUUUACUGGGUGUAAAGGGAGCGUAGGCGGUCGCUUAAGUCUGAUGUGAAAACCCGGGGCUCAACUUCGGGAUUGCAUUGGAAACUGGGCGACUAGAGUGUCGGAGAGGCAAGUGGAAUUCCCAGUGUAGCGGUGAAAUGCAUAGAUAUUGGGAGGAACACCAGUGGCGAAGGCGGCUUGCUGGACGAUUACUGACGCUGAGACUCGAAAGCGUGGGGAG
rnacentral:rRNA from 1 species